GAACACCACACAGAGCACAAAGCAAAAACCUUCCCUCACAGAUUUGAAAUUAUCUUCUCCCCUUAUUGGUCCUUUUGGUUAGGUGCCAACCAGGUUAUUUGAGCUUCUUAACCCUUUACAGGUAAAGGAGGGAUUUUAUGCUACCCUUAGCUGUAUGUUCAUGACACCAACCAACGAGGCUGUUCCAAAGAAAUCAGAAGACAACAAGGGAUCACUUGUUCAGCUAUGGCCUCUCUUAAGAAAGUAUGGAAAAAUUGUGGCAUCUUGAAAUGUACAAAGGAGGAAGAUUCUGCUUAAGCAGCAAAGAAGCAUAAACUCCUCUUCCUUGGGUCUCUGUGGCACUGACAGUUUCUCUUAACAACACUGCUGCAAAACCUUUUGAAUUGAAAGGCAUAAUCUGAGGAAUUUUUUUUGUGGCAUAAUUUUCACAUGCCACAUUUAAAACCCCCCACCAAAAAACACACUCCUGUGGCAACAAAAGGCACAUGAAAAAUGGAAAUCAGCUUUUUGAAGGAAUACCUGAAGAUUCUGCCACAAACAGGCUUACAAUGGAAAGUCUUUUACAACCUUGCUAAUGAGCCUUUCAGGGACUUUAUAAUUGCACUUUAGCAAAGUACAUUACUGUUUGUUUCUGUUAUCUUAGUUGCCUGAAACAAACAUCAAAAUAUUUUUGGAAAGAUACGUAAGUAGGGUUAAUAAAGAUCAAUAAAGUCCU